rnacentral:rRNA from 1 species
AGGGUUCGAUUCUGGCUCAGGAUGAACGCUGACAGAAUGCUUAACACAUGCAAGUCGACUCGAGUCUUCGGACUUGGGUGGCGCACGGGUGAGUAACGCGUAAAGAACUUGCCUCUUAGUCUGGGACAACAUCUGGAAACGGAUGCUAAUACCGGAUAUUAUGGUUUUUUCGCAUGGAGGAAUCAUGAAAGCUAGAUGCGCUAAGAGAGAGCUUUGCGUCCCAUUAGCUAGUUGGUGAGGCAACGGCCCACCAAGGCAAUGAUGGGUAGCCGGCCUGAGAGGGUGAACGGCCACAAGGGGACUGAGACACGGCCCUUACUCCUACGGGAGGCAGCAGCGGGGAAUAUUGGACAAUGGACUGCAAGUCUGAUCCAGCAAAUUCUGUGUGCACGAUGACGUUUUUCGGAAUGUAAAGUGCUUUCAGUCGGGAAGAAGUCAGUGACGGUACCGACAGAAGAAGCGACGGCUAAAUACGUGCCAGCAGCUGC